GAGGAAUAUUGGACAAUGGGCGAGAGCCUGAUCCAGCCAUGCCGCGUGCAGGAAGACUGCCCUAUGGGUUGUAAACUGCUUUUGUACGGGAAGAAACACCCCCACGUGUGGGGGCUUGACGGUACCGUAAGAAUAAGCAUCGGCUAACUCCGUGCCAGCAGCCGCGGUAAUACGGAGGAUGCAAGCGUUAUCCGGAAUCAUUGGGUUUAAAGGGUCCGUAGGCGGAUAAUUAAGUCAGGGGUGAAAGUCUGCAGCUCAACUGUAGAACUGCCCUUGAUACUGGUUAUCUUGAAUCGUUGUGAAGUGGCUAGAAUAUGUAGUGUAGCGGUGAAAUGCAUAGAUAUUACAUA
rnacentral:rRNA from 1 species